AGCAACAAAUGCCCUGCUUCCAGGAAAAGCCUCUAAGCAUCAGGUAACAUCAAAUCGUACCCCAAACCGACACAGGUGGUCAGGUAGAGAAUACCAAGGCGCUUGAGAGAACUCGGGUGAAGGAACUAGGCAAAAUGGUGCCGUAACUUCGGGAGAAGGCACGCUGACACGUAGGUGAAGUGAUUUACUCAUGGAGCUGAAGUCAGUCGAAGAUACCAGCUGGCUGCAACUGUUUAUUAAAAACACAGCACUGUGCAAACACGAAAGUGGACGUAUACGGUGUGACGCCUGCCCGGUGCCGGAAGGUUAAUUGAUGGGGUCAGCGCAAGCGAAGCUCCUGAUCGAAGCCCCGGUAAACGGCGGCCGUAACUAUAACGGUCCUAAGGUAGCGAAAUUCCUUGUCGGGUAAGUUCCGACCUGCACGAAUGGCGUAAUGAUGGCCAGGCUGUCUCCACCCGAGACUCAGUGAAAUUGAACUCGCUGUGAAGAUGCAGUGUACCCGCGGCAAGACGGAAAGACCCCGUGAACCUUUACUAUAGCUUGACACUGAACAUUGAGCCUUGAUGUGUAGGAUAGGUGGGAGGCUUUGAAGUGUGGACGCCAGUCUGCAUGGAGCCGACCUUGAAAUACCACCCUUUAAUGUUUGAUGUUCUAACGUGGACCCGUUACCCGGGUUGCGGACAGUGUCUGGUGGGUAGUUUGACUGGGGCGGUCUCCUCCUAAAGAGUAACGGAGGAGCACGAAGGUUGGCUAAUCCUGGUCGGACAUCAGGAGGUUAGUGCAAUGGCAUAAGCCAGCUUGACUGCGAGCGUGACGGCGCGAGCAGGUGCGAAAGCAGGUCAUAGUGAUCCGGUGGUUCUGAAUGGAAGGGCCAUCGCUCAACGGAUAAAAGGUACUCCGGGGAUAACAGGCUGAUACCGCCCAAGAGUUCAUAUCGACGGCGGUGUUUGGCACCUCGAUGUCGGCUCAUCACAUCCUGGGGCUGAAGUAGGUCCCAAGGGUAUGGCUGUUCGCCAUUUAAAGUGGUACGCGAGCUGGGUUUAGAACGUCGUGAGACAGUUCGGUCCCUAUCUGCCGUGGGCGCUGGAGAACUGAGGGGGGCUGCUCCUAGUACGAGAGGACCGGAGUGGACGCAUCACUGGUGUUCGGGUUGUCAUGCCAAUGGCACUGCCCGGUAGCUAAAUGCGGAAGAGAUAAGUGCUGAAAGCAUCUAAGCACGAAACUUGCCCCGAGAUGAGUUCUCCCUGAGACUUAAAGUCUCCUGAAGGAACGUUGAAGACGACGACGUUGAUAGGCCGGGUGUGUAAGCGCAGCGAUGCGUUGAGCUAAC
rnacentral:rRNA from 2 species